GGAGCAACGCCACAGGCCCCAUUUCAGUGUUUGCACUUUCUUUCUCUGGGCCGCUCACAGGACAGUGGCCCCCGAAGGCCGGGAAUGUGACCCUGUCCAAGGGUCAUUUCCUGUUCCGGCUGCUUCCGAUCCCUGGUCCCCCCCGCCGCCCCCUUGUCCUCUGCUGCCGGUGGUUUACAGGAGCCAGAAGCAUCUCUGUGAAGUGCCCCACUCACGGGGUGAACUCAGGCUCCAGGCUCCCCAAACUCUCCCGUCCUUGACCGGUGCCCGGGGACGGUGCUCAGCAGCAGGAGAGCGAUGCUGGAGGUCCAGGUCGGAGGCCUUGCCGCCUCUCCCAGCACAGCGACCACGACACGCACGUCUCGAGGCUCUGGUUCACGCCCCACACGCCCCGCAGUGACGCUGACUCCGUCCGCGGUUCCACGACUUCUGACCUGAGAAGCACGUGAGGGUUUGCUGUCCUCCGUCCCUCUCGAGAGCCGCGUGGCCCAGCCGGCAGCUGCUCUGCCUCAGUUUCCACCUGCCACCGCCCUCCCCGGCUGCCACCUCCACGACCAGAGCCAGGGCUGCGCAGGAGGGAUCGGGGCGCCGUAGCCGCUGCUGGUUUUCACCUUUUCUUGAAGUUAAGAUAGAAAAAAAAAAGGUAAACCAGGAGCGAAAUGAAGUCAGAAGAACAACAUAACAACCUAAUGAGGCCUGUUAACGUCUCUAGGGUCUUUCUCUAAUGCGAUUCGAUGCUGCUGGGUGUGGACACAAACACGUCUCCCCCUCGGAGGCGCUGGCACAGCUACUUUUGCUCUGAAAAAUCAGAAACUCAGACAUUGUGGUUCUCAGAACUUUGUUUAGCAUUUUAAUUUAAUUUAAUUUUUUUUUUGCAACAUAGAACAAAGGAUUUUUUUAUUAGAACAGUCUUAGGCAAAAAUUAUUUGCUGCAACAAGAGUUAAGGGAUUUCAUUCAUUUUCCUACUUAUGUUCUUCUGAAUAGAACAGCGGAAUGACGAGAAAUGUCGCAGACAGUUCUUGGCACAACUGGAUCAGAAGUCGGAACAAUAGAAAAAAUACUUAUGCUUCUAAUUCACCCGUACAGGUGACGGUCAUGUGACUGUUCCCCAAACAUCACAGUAGAGAGAAUUCCUCUUCUUCUCUUCAAAUUGCCAGUUCAGUCCAGACCCAGAAUAUGCGGGGUUUUUUGGUUUUUUGUUUUCAAUUUCAAUUCAAUUUGCCAACAUAUAGGAUCACGCCCAAUGCUCCUCCCAUCACGCACCCUCCUCGGGGCCCGUCACCCAGUGACCCCAUCUCCCCACUCCCUUCCCCUUCCCCAACCCUUUGCUUGUCUUCCAGAGUUAGGGGUCUC
rnacentral:lncRNA from 12 species